GACGAGCCUCACAAACGUUAUUCGGAAUUACUGGGCUUAAAGGGUGCGUAGGCGGCGCGGAAAGUUGGGUGUGAAAUCCCUCGGCUUAACCGAGGAACUGCGCCCAAAACUACCGUGCUCGAGGAAGAUAGAGGUGAGCGGAACUUACGGUGGAGCGGUGAAAUGCGUUGAUAUCGUAAGGAACACCCGUGGCGAAAGCGGCUCACUGGGUCUUUUCUGACGCUGAUGCACGAAAGCUAGGGGAGCAAACGGG
rnacentral:rRNA from 1 species